AAGAAAUUGGACAAAUAUCAAUAAGAAAAGGGCUUAGUAGAGAGGGUUAAACAACCACAAGCUAAUCUAUUGUUAAGAAUGUUUAGUGAGUUCCUACAUGUAAGACACUAAUCAUCAAAGCAACAAAUGUUCUCGACUCAGAUGAAUACAUACACACAGUUGUUCAUCAAGAAAUAACAAACAACUACAAGCUAAUCGAAUGUUAAGAAUCCUAUAGAAACAUCAGUUCUUGGCUCUCAAACAAGAGAUUUCUGGCACAACACCAUCAUCCUCGGUCGUCAGCUGUGCAUUGAAGCAGAAGGCUGCUGCUGCUGCCUUCGUCGAGGCCUCUACAGGUCGCAUGUCGACUCCAUCCAUGGUGGUUUGGCUGUAGGUUGGAUGUUGGCUCCAUCCACGGUGACCGGCCGAUGUCUUCACCACCAUGCAAGCAAAAGAGCUGAGGCAAACGAAAGCUUUUGGUAGAUUCAAAACUAUCAGUUUAAGCUGCUGCAGACAUCUGCAUAGUAACAACUAUUCUUGUGAUCAAAUUGUUAGAACAAAUAUACGAGGAGUCGUGGGGAUAUAGGGAGAGUCAAUGUGUUCGAAGCUUCCUUCACUCCACCCAAGAAGGAAGGAUGAUGUCGCCACCACCUCUCCUCGGGUGGAGAGAAGGCAUCUCCGAUCACCCCUACCUUCUUUCUCCACCUUCAGAAAUGGGGCGAGCGGCAUUGAUUUUUGGGAUUUGCCAAACAUCCGAAGACCACCAUCUCCGGAGGGAGAAGCUACUACCGGGAGAAGGAUGUGGUCAUCUAUUUCAAAACGUGACACGUAUGGGUAUAGCCGCACGUGUGUCACGUAUUUGGUAACGCGACACACACGUAUAUGUAUCACGCAUCAUGUUGCUUGAUCCGACACGCGUAGCUUCGCACACAUUUUUUUAAGAAAAAAAUGUUAUUCAAUUGGUAUAGAUAAAAACAGUAAAAUCCUAUUUGAUAUUUCUACAGAAAUGAAAAAAAAUUAUUACAAUGGAUCAAUUUGUUUUCUCGGUAGGUAUUAGAAAAAAAUAUCAAUGACGUCAGAUAUGACACUUAUUCCCCCUCCACCCAUUGACUAUGACUUGUCUACAAUAGGAAAGGAUCUCAUCUUCUUAGACAUCGUUCAAUUCAUGAUACUAUCUUAUAGUGUUAAAUAUUAUCAUGCUAAUAUCACCACAAACCAUAAACUCUUCUAUGUCUACUUUCCAUUGUAUAAGGGAUAAAGUGGAUGUUACUUGACUACUUUGGAGGGCUUUAAAAUUAAUGGUGCUCCAACCAACAACACUAUCUGGCUAGCUGGUGAUGCAUUAUUGGGCCUCGUCUAACUAUCUUACUAAUUUGUCCCCUCGAGCUUCCACCUUAAUGACAAAGGUGGAAUCUCUUCUCUCCCUCCUCAGCCUCUCCACUUUCUCAUGAUAGUGACAAUGAUAACUCAUCUGCCCAAGUAUUUCUUAGAAAAUAUACCAUUGAUCUUCAGGGAUAUCUUGAUGGUACUUCGACAUUUCUACACACAAAGAUUAGAAUCA
rnacentral:lncRNA from 1 species